rnacentral:lncRNA from 1 species
AACAAUGGAAUAUGAUUGCAAUUAAAUCAGAUAAUCAUAUUGGAUUUAUUUAUUGGAACAUGGUGGUGUGAAAUAUAAAAAAAUACUCAAUUCCCACAAAGAAGAGUUUUUAAAAAACAACUCCCAAGUCCCCAAAUUGGAGAGAUGAUGAACAUAGAAAAAAUCUUAUGCUUUCUCCCCUCAUUAUAAUUGGCCCCAAAUUGUAUGCGCUUUCUUCAACUUUUUCUUUGUCCUUUAUAUUUUUUGCCGAUGCAUUUUUAAUAAACUUCUCGCCCUUUCUUUUUGUGGCACUAAGAAAUGGCAUAGGCGGCCCUAUUAUGGGAAAUUGAUACACACGACAUAUACAAAGGGGGCAGAGAGAACAAAGAUAAAGAGGAAAGUAAGCAGAAAAAGCAUACUGAUAUCAUCCAUACACACUUAACGAAGCAGAGAGCAUAAUCCAUAUAUAUAUAUAUAUCCAACAAGCAAUUGUAGAUAUUGCCUGCAUACCUACAAAUCUAGCAAAGAGGUACACACAGAUACAAAACAUCAAGAUAGACCUUCGUACAUCAUCCUAUUACAUCCCAGUUUCGUACUGUAAAAUCAAAUAGCAAAAGGGGUAAUUUUCUUACCGAAACCCCUCGCUUAUGCGAUUCGGAACCACCGCGAGUCGUCGGGUGGGUAAGAAUCUAAAUCCGGGUCACCGGGAGGGUUGAAGUUUCAUUGAUGAAUACCAUCACCAACCACCAUCAUCACCGCGCCGGAGAGGGAGAAGGCGAAAUUGGGGGUUUACCCCUAGCCAUGACCCCUGGGGUGAUUAGGCCGAGCCCUUUGCACCACCGUAGCGCCACCAUCGCCAUCAUCGCGCCGCCUCCGUGGUUACCGCGUGAGAAAGGAAGGAUUUUAGGGAUUUCCCUAGGUUGGCUUCGUGAAGAAUGGAGAUAAUGUGAAUUCUCCCCUUCUUUUGAUUCUUUACACGUGAGUUUUAGUUUUUUUAGUUGUUUUGUUAUUUUUGUUUUGUUUUAUUAGUUUUAUUGUUUUUUGUUGUUUAGUAUUAGAGUAAAUUACACUGAUCCUCUGAGUUUUAGUGAAAUUACACAAACCACCCUUCACUUUUCUAGUGAAAUUAAUUUAAACAAAAUAUGAUAUAUUGUGUAGACAAGUCUAAAUAAUAUACAAAUCAAUGUAUCUUUAUUAUUUUUGGUUCGUUACACUACAUUAUAAGAGUGAUUUAAACAAUAUUUCUUUGUAAUUGUUGAUGCAUUUUAUAACAAAAAAAAUAAUAGAGAUACAUUGAUUUGUAUAUUAUUUACACUUGUCUACACAAUAUAUCAUGUUUUUUUAACUCAAUUGCAUUUAUCACAUUUUUUGUUUAAAAGAUUACACUUAUUUCUUAUACACGAGUGGUCAGUGUAAUGAAAGUACAAAACUAUGGGAGGUUUGUGUAAGUUUAGAAAUGUGAGGGGUGGUUUGUGUAAUUUCACUAAAAUUCAAGAGAUGUCAGUGUAAUUUACUCUUAGUAUUAUUGUUUGGGUUUGUCUCUUUUCAAAUCAGUUUUAUCAUUGUGUCCAAUAAUUAUGUUAUUAUGCAACAAUAUACACCAAAUGUUUAAUAAAAUAUAAUAACUAUCUAUAAUAACAAUAAUUAGAACAUUUUAUUAUGACAAAAAAGAUUAUUAAUAGAAUUACAUGAAAUUUUUUAUAAAUGUUUUUGAUAUAAUUUUGGGAGUUAAUCAAAGAUGGAGAGAAGGUCGUCCUGAAGGUCGCAUUACGCCGCUUCAUUUCAAUCGAUUAAAUCUCAAAACCGAUUAAACUUUAUUUUUUAAAUUAAAAUAACAAAAAUUAACCAAACAAAAACUUUUUUUCAAUAAUAAACAAAACUUGCAAAAUGAAUAUUUUUGACUAAAAAAUAUAUUAUGUUUAAUUAAAAUACCCUCAACCAAUAAACAUUUUCCCCAAAAGAACUACAUAAGUCUUGAUUCCCUUAAUAGGGAUACGUAGGACCGGGAUCAAUCUUGUCAGGCUUAACUAAAUAAAUAAAGAAAAAGUUUCGAUCAUAUAAAUUAAUUAAUUAAUCAAAUAACUUAAUAAUAAUAAUAAUAAUAGUAACAACGUCAUAUAUUUUAAUGAAGGAUACCGCUUAAAGCGGGUGGGUAGGAUGCUAAUACCUUCCCUACUUUGUAACUAACUCCCGAACCUGGAUAUCAAAAAUCCAAAAGCUUAAGGUAAUUGACCUUAAAAGAUUUUUCUACAUUUUUAACUAUAAAGUAAUUCCAUAACAAACCAAUACAAUGAUUUAAAUAAUAGAUUAUAUGUAUUUCAUCAAAUGAAAAUGUACCUUAUAAAUUUUAUAAAUUCAAUUUAAAAAUACCCCUUUAAUAUAUUUUGAUUUUCCAUUGGGAGGAUAAUUAACCCUCUUUGUCUGAGUGACUAAUCCUCUUCGAUGUAAUGUAUAUGAUAUUCCUAAGAAGUGUUAGAAUUUCUAUACUAUUAUCUGGCUUUCUACUAUUUUCUCAAUCUGGCUUGUAAGAAAUGAUGUUAUUUUUAAUUCUUCUGAGGCAAUUAUCCAAUACAUAAUGGAAAAUGUGAAGAUGAAAUCUUGGCUUUGGACCAAUGAUAAAAGCGACAAUCUUUCAAUGUCUUACCUCAGAUGUGUCAAUAAUCCUUGUGAUAGCUUACCCCUGUUAAUUCUCUGAACCCUUUUCUAGUCCCUCUUUUAUAUUUUCUUCAAAUCGUUGUAAACUCACAUACUUGUGAUACAUUAAUUAAAAAAUUUACUCUUUUACCGCCAUAUAAAAAGUCACAAUUUUGGAUUGAACAUUAGUCUUUCACCCUAGAUGAUAUGUAAGGGUUUAGCUUUUUACAAAUACUAGAUGAUCUUCUUCCUUGUAUAUUUCAUUUUAAAAUGUGUUUAAUCAGUAAUUCCUACAAAUAAAUAUAUUAAAUUUCCAAAACUAAUAUUAUUUUAAUCAACUGAGUAUUAGGAGAUAAAUAUAACCUAAAUGUUACUUUUUUCUAAAUAAGGCUUUUGUUGACUAAUUAGUAAUGUUUAUGUAAUGAGAAUAAAGUAUCUCCUAGUAUAAGGAGAUAAAUUAUCUUCUCCAGCCACUAAAAUUAUGAUACAUGUUCUAUUUAAUUAUUUUCUAUAAAAUAUUUCUAAAACUUAACAAAAUAGUACAUAUGUCAUACUUUUACAGAUCGGAGGAGAUAAGUUAUCUCCUAAUUUGAGGAGAUACUUUAUUCUCUUAUGUAAUAUAAAUAUUUCUCUUCAUUUUAAAAUAAUUAUUCAUAUAAUAAAGAGAAAUAAUUAUAUUACAUAAAGAUUACUAAUUCAUCUACAAAAGCCUAAUUUAUCUCUUUGAUUAAAAUAAUUAUAGUUUUGGAAAUUUAACAUAUUUAUUUGUUGGAAUAACUAAUUAAAUAUAUUUUGAAAUUAAAUUUAAGAGGUUGAAGAUCAUCCAAUAUUUGGAAAAAGCUAGACAUGGUGUAUCUUCUAUGGUGAAAGACUAAUGUUCAAUCAUAAAAUGCGACUUUUUAAGGUCAGUAAAAAGAUAAAUUUAUUAAAUUAAAGUGCCACAAGUAUAAGAAUUAAUAAUGCUUUGAAGAAACUAUAAAAGAGGGACUAGAAAAGGGUUCUAAGAAUAAAGAGGAGGUACACUAAUACAUGGAUUGUCAACCAAUUCGAGGUCACUUUUACCUUUGAUCCAAAACUAAGAUUUUAUUUUCACGUUCUCCACUAUAUGUUGGAUAGUUGCAUUAUAAAAAUUAAGAAUGACAUUGUUUCUAGCAAGCCAGAUUAACCAAACAAUAGAAAGCCAGAUAAGGAUAUAGAAAUUCUAAUACAUCUCAAGAUUAUCAUUUGCAUUACAUCGAAAAGAUUAGUCACUUAGACAAAGAAUGAUAGAUAUCAUAAAACAAUUGCAUAAUUAAUCAUCUAUACUAUAUAUUUAUACUAUAUAUAAAGGUGAAACAUAGUAUAACUUCCACCAAGGUAUAAUUUUCACUUCAUGUUUUUCCCUUAACAUUAUUUAAUAUUUUCAAAAAAACUAUAUAAUCAUAAGUAAUCUCUAUCAACAUAUUAAUUAACUACAUUUUUUCACAUUAAAUUGAACAUUAUCAUAAAUACACAAAAAUUAUAAUUAAAUGUAUAUCGAACACCAUAAAUAUAUUCUAAUUCUAAAAAAUAAAAUAUAUAAAAAUUGAAUGUAUAAUACCAUACAAUAUUGUCAUGUAGGCACGAAGUGCCUAUACACACUAGUCAUUAUAAUGUCAAUAUUACUAUUAAACAUUGAUAUUUUUAGCAUCAACAAUACUUUAUGUUUAAACGAUAUAUCAAUAUCUAAUAUUCUUAAGAAUGUACUAUAAUUAGUUUGUUUAUAAAGGUUAUGUAGUUUUUAAAGUAGUAAGCAAUGAUUCCAACACAACAUGAUUUAUUUCUUCAUUAUGUCCAUAAAGAAAAUUAAGAAAUUUAAGAAAAUUACCUCCAUUAGUAGAAUCAAUUGAUUCAUCAUUACCACGGAAAGGUAAUCAUUAUUUUAAUAAAAAGCGAAUGCAAUCAAGUGAUGUUGAUAAACGCUUUCGGUAUAAGUCAUGAACUUGAUCAAAUUGCUUACAUAUUGCGACUUCAAUAUGUUGAUUUUGAUUCAUCAAGAUUUUUCCAUGCAAUAUUAUGAGCAUUAUUAGGACUUCCAACAUGAUCCAAGAGUUUUUUUUUUCUUAUUCCAAAGUGUGAAUCUCUCUGUGACAAAUGUGUCAGUACCAGAUUGCUUUCUAAAUUCAGACUUAAAAAGAUAGCAAUAUAAGCAAAAUGCAGCAUCUUUUUCUAUACUAUACUCUAACAAAUUGCCAAAAUUCAUUGAACUAAGAAGGACAAAAUCUUCUUAAUUCAUUUCCACUUUUCCUUUUAGGGAAAUUAUAUUGAGUAGGUUGACAUGGUUCUCUUUGUAAAUAUACUCUUCGAAUCUUAUCUUGAUCAUUAGGAUGAUAUGAUUUAAUUUUAAUUCUUUUUUUAGGAUCCGAUGACAAUUCUUCAAAAUUAAACUCAAUCCUUUGUCAUUGAGGACUUGGUUCAGAAGAUGUCGAUGAUGAUGGUUGUUCAUUUGUUGAUAAAUUUUGUUUAAAAACUUUUUCAUUAUCCUGCAAUUAAAAUAUUAAACAAUAUAAAAAUGACUAAAAUUAUUACAUUACCAAUUUUAUAAUAUUAUAUUGGUUAUACUUAUCAUUCCCUUCAAAGUGAAAUGGUUAAAAAGCACUUGUGGAGCAUGUGUUGGUUCUAACAUUUAUACAUUCAAGUUUCAAGUCCUAAUUCCUAAAGAUAGAAUGACAUCUAUGGAAUGUGAAAUUGUCAUAUAAGGAAUAUGUUUCUUUAUCUAUUACAAAUGAAAGAAACAUAUUUGACAAUUUAUGUAUUCCAAAUGGAAGAAACACAUUAGUAUGUAUCCAACAAAGGCAAUUAUUUCAGUCCCAAAGCAAUUGUUUAUCUAGUAGAGGCUGUAUUAUAGCAUUUUGAAUUUUGAAGGUAAAUUCAUCUUUCAAAUUUAGUGUGUAAUAUGAAAUAUUGUAUAGAAUCAAUGAAAUUUGUAAUAAAGCAGACAAUGAGAUAAAGACAAAUAGCAUUUGAAGACAAUGAAUAGAAACAUUGAAAUGCAACCUAUGUUAAACAUACAAUGGAAAAAUGAAAUACCCAAUAGAAACAAUGAAAUGGAAAAUAAAUUGACUAUAUAAAAAACUAAUCACUUACAAAGUGGAACAAUGUUUGAAGGCAAUGACACAAUGUUUGAAGGAAAGACUUUUCCUGCGUAUAAAAUUGAAACUUUUACUUUUAGGUGUGUUGCUCAAAGUUGUAAUUUUUAAUUUUUGAAUUGUAAUGACCUUUUAUUUUCUGAGCAGAUGUUUCUAUUUAUCUAGUUUUUUUGUCUAUUUUGACUUCUCAUUGUGGGCUUCAAAAAUUGUAUGUAAUGUAUUAAUUUUUUUUUAAAACAAACAAGGGUUUGCAUUGCACACCCUCAUCCUACAUAGCACCAUCAAUGAUUUUGAAAUGGUAAAAUCAUUAUCUUCAUUAUAGAUGCAAGGAUAAAAAUUUAUUAAUUAAAAAAAUGUUAAUGAGAUUGUAACAAUUAAAAUUAAACUUGUCACCCUUUUAAGAUGAGAUGUGGUACUACACAUAGGUAUGUACUUUACUCUCUUGAAAUAAGUGAGAAAGUAUUGAAAAUUGUUGGAACCAUUCUCUAAACCUCAUUACUAAAAAUCUUUAAGAAUAGAAAAGUGGAUGUGAACCACUCUCUUAAUGCAGAGACAAUAGAUUACGAUUAAGGUGUGUAUUUUCUUUUCAAAUCUUAAAAUAUAAAUCACUCCAACCCCACAAACCUUUUAUACUAAGAACUACUCAAAUCUUGAUUUCAUGUUGCAUAUAUGGAUAUGUACAAGAAAAUUGAAAUCAUGUAAGAAAUAAAAAUAUAAAAAAAUAAUUUGUCCUUAUAAUAAUUAGUAAAUAAUAAUUUAUAAUGAAUAUUUAAGCAUCCCAAUCUUAUAAAUGAGGUUAGCAUCUUAGUAUGUGCGGACAUGAUGCUAGUAUCUUUCUUAAUCCAGAAUCGAUUCCUGAAUCUAAAGCUCUAAUUUAAAGACAACUACACUCUGUAUUGGAUAUGAAAUAGAGUUUUAUACAUUUUAUCGUCGAAAAACAUAGUGAUGAUUCCAAUAAAUCACGUAAUUGGUGUUAGACUAAAAAUCAAGGCGCACAAUUUUUAUUGUUCCCAAGUUUUGUUAGUAUCAAGACCUACACUCUUGGUUUUAUUUGUUCUUGUCCCAAAGUUCUGAAAGUACCCUAACUUGCAUUCUUGAUUGUUUUUUCUAGGUCUAUUUUCUUUCAUGCCCAUUUUAAGGCUUUUCAAGUGUCACAAUAAAGAGUAUAUGUUUAUAAUAUUAUAAUCAUAAUUUAUGUCUUUUAAUAAUAUAUUUACAAUAAAAUAAUAAUUUAUUGUAUGUUAAUAUAUUAAUUUAGAAUAUUAUAAUUGUAAUUUUUAUAUGUUUUUUAAUUGAAGCAAUUAGUUCUAUUCAUAUCUUGCUGGCACAAUAUUUUUAUAUAAAGAGUGUUUUACUUUUUACUCAUAUGCCUAUAUUGUGCAAAGAAACAUUAAGAAUAAAUAAACUUAUAUUGAGGUUGAGUAGUCUUUGUUGGAGAUGGCUUAAGCUUACUAUAAAAAACAAUUCACCCUUUUCCUUUUGCUUAUAGAUUUAUUCUAGUUAGUGUCACAAUAUCUACUUUCUUAAUACUUAUCAAUGUAUGAUUUGCAAAACUUAACAACAUUUAAUCAGAAAUAUAAUAUUUGUAUAAUUAAUGGGACACUUUGAUUUUUAUAUCAAAUAAUAUGGUUACAUUGUUUUAAAAAUUGAAAUGUUUUGUAACAUAUUACAUCACGAUUUUGAUGAGUUAGCAUAUCUAUUGUAGAGGAACAAAUUUUUUAUUUAAUUUUAAUUGCUUCACUUAGUUUAUCAUUUGGGUGUUAUUGCAUUUGGUAACUUUGUUUUUGAAAUUUAGGUAUUUUCAUGACAAGUGAAGCAGGUCCAAAAAGAGGCGUUGCUCCUAGAGAAAGAUGUAAAAGA